CCUUCUUUUCGUUCGUUAUUACUUGCAAAAUAUAGGAUGAUUUAUACCUAGUGACAUAUUUUCAAGUGUUUACAAAUUUACUGCUAAUAUAGACGUCACUUAAAACUCUGAAGUAGUUGAUUUUAAAAACAAUAAAUCACGGAACCAUUUUCACUGCCGUACAAUUUCUCGAUUUCAGUAACAGUAGUCUCCACUUAUCAAUUUUCUUAUAAAUUCCGUCGCAAAAAGAACUGUUUUCACCACUUUGUGGUGAUAUUUAUUCUUCUGUAGGAUCAUAUUCGUGAAAUUCAGGGAUUCAACAUGCCGAAAGAGGAAAAUUCCACAAAUUAUGCUGCAGGGGGCGGCAAAGGUGGGGCUGGAAUGGACAAGGGGAAAAACAAGUCAUCCAAAGCCAGCAAGAAAUGGGUCAGGCUUGCAACUGUACUGGCAUACGUCCUGUCAGUGUCUUUGGCUGCCAUAGUCUUGGCCGUAUACUACAGUUUGUUGUGGAAGCCUGUUCUUCAAACCAUGAAAACUGGCGAUGAAGGUACUUCAACUAAAAUGCCAACAGUUUCUGUUGCGGCAGAUGUUUACAACACCACGAUGGCACCUAACACAGCAACUACCACCACUCCUCCUGCUUCUGGCUAGCAUCGCUUACUAACUUUCCAGUUCUGUACUGACAUAAUAUCCUUUGGGGUAAACUGAAGAUGACGAGAUUUCACUGAAUUUGAUACUCAUUCUGACUAUUUGAAGCUGAACUAAAAGACUCAUCAUCCAUUUCAAUUUGCCCAAAAUACUUUCUUCGGAUUAAAUGCUGGAAUACAAACUUUUCAUCCAUUUCUUCUGGAAUAGAGAGAUCAAGAUAUUUUUCAAGCAAAGUAGAAUUUAUACUAUUACCACAUGAAAUACGCUACAGUCUUUCCUGCAUUGUCCUGCCGAUAAAGAUUGAGAUGGAGUCUCAUGGUCUGUGAAAAUAGAAGACUUCUGAACUGAUAUCUGAUAAUCAAGGGCCAUCAUCACAAGUUGACGAAGUGCAAGACAUUACAACUGGUAUAGGUACAAUGUACAUUUAAAUCAUGAUGUACAAGACUCUUUUACAUCUAUAUAGUGUAUGGUAAUUUUCCACCUCAGUGUUUUCAAACUGAAAUGUUGUACACAUUGCACAUUUUGUAAAGCUCACCUUGUGACUAUGAGUAUGAAGUUGCUCUUUUUUUUAUUUAUUGGCAUUCAGAAAUAACAGGUUGAGCCUGCUAACAAUGGAGCAUUUGAAAACAAGAAGUAUUCUUGUUGGUGAUAUCAGUAGUACUACUCAUUUAGCAAAAUUUAACUCCGGUUUCAGUGGUUCCAACGAGACAUAAUGAUAGGGCAAUAUGUUUGUAAAUUUGUAAAGAAAUGCACUUUGUAUAAAAUCCAGCACCCCUCUUGUAAAUUCUUAUGUUAUUGUACUAUGCCUAUGGUAUAUUUGGGAAACGUUGGACUCUAGAUCUGAUACCUGAUGUACAGUGCCAUUUUGUUUCCCUCCUGAAAUGUUUUCUGUAGGUACAUGUGACAUUGCAAAAUAUGCUCUGAACGGGAUGAAAUCACAGUAAAAACCAAAAUAUGCCCAACUUUUAAGAAAAGCAGGGUCUCUCCCAAAUAAGAGGCCUGGAGUCUUGUAACGACAAAAAGAGGUGUGACGUGGUCGCCACCUGACAUUUUAUUCUGAUAAGUUGGCUCUCGUUUGCUACAUUUACAACAUACAGUCUUUUAAACCAUUUUUACAUCAAUUAUUUUAAAGCCCAACCCGACCCUUUCCUAUUAGUGUACUCUAACUAUUGACGGACUGUUGACAUAUGAAUAGAAAUACUUCACGGAAGUCUAUCUUAUUGUUAAGGUCACUGAUGAUCUGGUUGUAUCCUAAGGACCCACAAACUGUCUCCAUGGCAACCAAUCUGAAGUGUUAUUGUCCAGAACCGAUAAGCCUGUUUCCAUGGUUACUGAUGAGGUACAGUGAGGGGCGUGGCUCAGCAGUUAGUUGAAUAAGACAACAUACACGUAUUGAUUGUGGGGAUUCUUGGAACGAUGAAUGCAAUUCAUUGUUAAUCAACAAGUUUGCCUGUGACAUAGAACGAAGCUGUAGCCUGUGCAAAACAAUUUGUUUUCCAAAGAUGUCAUCAAAAAUUGAUUAAGGAUAACCCCAUGAAUCAAAGUCCCCAAACUCCAUAUUUAACCCUUAUCAAUUGGUGUUUUUUAAUAAAUAGCUUGUUAUCUCCGCGGAGAUUCUCCUGGGUGAUGUCGAAAUUUUGUUUGAAUUGCUGUUUGAAGACCGAGAAGUUGUUGAAGGCUCCGAGAUGCCCAGUAAAGGGUUUUCGUCAGUGUGCACAUGUAUGAUGUACAUUUUUUACACCACUCUAUCCUGCAUGUACAUGUUUAUGGUAGCCUACAGUUAAUUGGGUGAUGAUGUUCUGUUAUUAGGCACCGCAUCAAUGCUGAUCAAAUCAAUAAUGAGGUGGACGUAUUAAUUUGAUGAGAAAGGGAUGGGGUUAUUACUCUGGAUGAUCAUGACGAAUAAUUACUUGUGGCUCCAGCUUGGUUCACCAAUAUUUCAUGCAUGGUGAACAUAUACCUGUAGGUCGUCUGAGUGAAUACAAUAGCAACUUUCAUUCACUGACAGAUUUUAAAAGUGUCCUUGUAUCGGAAGCAGAGAGGAAAUAGGUCAUGCACAUUGAUCUGAUCCUUAUGUAGAUCUGGCAACCCCAGAGGAACAUGUACAUGUAUGGCGACAUCAUCCUUCGACGUCUGUUAAUAGCCAUUAUAAACCUCUGGACUGCUCUUCAUAAAGUUAAUUGUACCUUUAUAAUUUUAAUCCAACUGGUUUCAUUUUAGUGCUUCGACCCCCCCCCCACGCCAAUUAUUGGUCUGUACAUUAAUAAUUCAAGUCAGGUAAGUGUCUUACUUAAGAACACAGAUUGGUGUCCUUCCGAGGGCCAAACCUCCUGAUGAUACAACGCAUGGGUCUGGGGUCUGGCACUUAAAUUACUACGCAUGUAUGCCAAUGAUCACCCUCCGAGUUACAAGAGUACAAUACGGCAUUAUUUUCAUUAAACCUAAUAUUAUGACCAAAUAAGGUUUAGCAGUGAUCAGUCCAAUUGAUGAAAGUGUUGAACGUGUACAUGAAUUGUACAUUACAUGUUGACGCAUUGAUUUCUAAUUUUAUGUAUCAUUGAUUUCCCACCUGCUUUGUCACUAAAACAGGGCUAUUUUUCCUAUUUUUGUCAUGGGGGUGUGGCAUGUGGUGUGUCACUACAGCAAGGUUAUGUUAAAUUGCCUGACAUUCUGUAGAAAAGAUCCGCAAUUUUUAAUGAUGCCUGAAACAAAGUAGAGCUUGAAUGUUGCCAUCUGAAGGCUUGAGAUGUCAUUUAGAUUCAAAUGGCUGGGCAGCUUGCUUUUCAACCAUCCUAUCUAACCUGUAGUGUACAGUCCUGGAACCCGUAGACCUACUCUAGCUAUACACACCCUUCUGGAUAAUUUUCCGCUACGUUUCAAUGGGGUACGUCUAUGUAGUGAGAAAAAAUUGUGCAAAACGUAGUGAAAAAUAUUCUAGGAGAACCAAAGAACAUUACAAAUUUUUGGGUUUCCAAUGCCCUUUCUGAAGAUUCCUAAAAAUGGUGACAAUAAAUGUACCGUAUUUUUGAAAACAGUUCACAAUGUAUAGUUUCUCCUUCGUAAUCUAAAAACAUUCUCUUAAUUACUUUUUCUACGACUGUUCUUUUUCCAUAUUGUUUUAAAUAUCGCAUCGACUCACCUUAUCUUUUGUAAAUUCUUUGCAAGCAAUAGCUUCAUGGUGUACAUAAGCUGCUGUUUCAUACAAUGUACCUCACAUGUACAUGUCUACUAGAGACAAAUGCACUUGUAAAUAGAUGGAAUAAAACUAAUUGUACAUUGUAUGCGAUACGACUGUCAGUAUUACUGUCCAUCAGUCAUAUUUUUGCGCGAUAAUGAUAUUAUUGGGGCUCGUAAUUUUCCAGUUCAACUCUGUGUUUUGUGUACUGUUAGCGUUCUCACAAUCAAUGAUUUAUGAAACAUUUUUUUGCUAGAAAUAUCUUGUAUACAUGUAGGUGUUCACAUGCUACUCAAUUAUCUACUCAAUUAUCUCAAUUAUCUCUUAUCGAUACUUGGUAUUAUCAAGAUGUUUCUUGGUAUCAUCAGGUUGCUUUAUGUGCCAUUCAAGCUUCUUUUUGAGUUUGCUGAGCACUUGUUUUUUUCCCCAGCAUAUUUUAACUUAAAAGAAUCUCAGACCAACUCUCAAGCUUGUGGUUUUAACUUCAGCAGGACUCCCUUGGAAUGCUGAAAACUGCAUGGUUUUCACAGGUGUUGGAUUAAUUUUGAUGUUAGUUAUUGGCCUGGCAAUUGUAACUGACCACAAAGCCUGUCAAACGCGGAAAGCAUAUCCGCUGUGUGGAAUUUGUCCCGACUGUGAAGCAAGGCAGAGUAUAAUGGCGGAAGGAAUCUUUUAGUGUUGAUUUAAAGAAAAUCACCAACAAAACAAAGUUUCUAUAAAUCUAAUUUUCAGUUUGGUUCAAUAAAAAACAAAUGAAAGUGGUUGUGCGACCAACAGGGAACUCCACCCUAUGAUGAUUGCAUUGAUAAAAACAUCAAUUAUAAAUGAUAUGAACUAAGGUGAAAUCCAUAGAUUUUGCUGGGAUUAAUGUCAAUAUAUUGAGCACUGUAUUGCUGCCAGGCAUACACAAGUAAUAUUUGAAAUGAUUAUAUUGUGUUCUUUCUUGUCUGGGUGGUUUGCUAGCUACUGUCGGGUCAAUACGGCGGCCAUGUACAGUUACAAGAUUCACAAUAAUUUUCAGGUUUCUGGAAACCAGUGUUCUUUAGUGUCGUGCUAACGGUGGUGUCCACUGAAGAUGCCGACGGUUCCAUCGUACUUGUAUUCUUUAAAAACCAUGUGUCAAUUAGGACUUCAUUGGAACAUAUUUCAAAAAAAUUUGUAUAACGCAUGCAUGAAUUAGUCCAAUGGAGGUCUUUUUCAUGUGCAUAUGUAUAACCAGAUACACUGACGAAACCUUGAAAGUUUUUCUUACUUGUGCUAGGAUAUGUGCCACAAAAGAAAAAGAAAGUGAAAUGUAUAAAUAUAGAUUGUGGAAUGUUUGUUGCCUUGUUUUGCGGUGAAGAACCUUCUAUGGGGCCCCAGGGCUUAGCCAUGGCAA